rnacentral:rRNA from 1 species
GUAGGUGGCAAGCGUUGUCCGGAAUUAUUGGGCGUAAAUCGCGCGCAGGCGGUUUUUUAAGUCUGAUGUGAAAGCCCACGGCUCAACCGUGGAGGGUCAUUGGAAACUGGAGAACUUGAGUACAGAAGAGGAAAGCGGAAUUCCACGUGUAGCGGUGAAAUGCGUAGAGAUGUGGAGGAACACCAGUGGCGAAGGCGGCUUUCUGGUCUGUAACUGACGCUGAGGCGCGAAAGCGUGGGGAGCAAACAGGGAUUAGAUACCCUGGUAGUCCACGCCGUAAACGAUGAGUGCUAAGUGUUAGGGGGUUUCCGCCCCCUUAGUGCUGCAGCUAACGCAUUAAGCACUCCGCCUGGGGAGUACGGCCGCAAGGCUG